CUUUCUCUCACUAAACCUGCCACAUCUCUCACUAAACCUUCCUCAUCUCUCUAACCGGAUCUAACUUCCUGAACCACCAUCAUUUACCCCCAAAUCCACACUUUUCCUUAAAGAGAGGAACACAGACAGACAUACCCACCACCACCCUCUUCCCCUCCGCUUUUCUCUCUCACUCUAGAACCUUGUUUCUAUCUCUAAAAACAUCUGUCACAAUUCCACUUUUUUCCUCUCAAAUCUUUGCCAUGUUCCCAUGAAUCUAAACCCUCAAGAAAUCGAAAAAAAAAUAGAUUAAACUUAUAAAUCUUAUCAAGAAUCCACUCGGAUCUAUCAUGGGAUCUCUCUUUCAUUAUUGUUCUCAGUAAGGCUAGAAGCACUCAGAUCGAAUCCGGAGUGGAACCAAGUGUUUGCUUUUUCUCGAGAUAGGAUCCAGUCGAUGAUGCUCGAGGUUGCUGUGAAGGAUAAAGAUCUUAUGAAAGACGAUUUCAUGGGUUGGGUGUUGUUUGAUCUGGUUAGAGAGAUGAGGAAGGUUUAGUGAGAGAAAGGAUAAUAUUUUUUUUAUGUAUUUUUAAAUAAUAGGGUGAAAAGACAAUUUUACCCUCAUGUGCAUUGCACAUGACCA